UGGGGGAAUGAGUGGCUGCCUGGAAGGCAGGAAGUGGCUCUGCGGGAAUUCUGAGGGAGACUUCCAGGGCAAGGGGGCCCACCAGAUCUUCUCUGGUGAGCAUCCCCCCAGCCUGGCCUAGGGCAUGCCCCAGUUCACUUUCGCCUGCUUCUGUGGCCUCCACGGCUUCUGCAAGAUGAAGAGGAAGAAGGAGGAAGUUCACAGAG
rnacentral:lncRNA from 1 species